GUGCACCACUACUGCCUGGCUAAAAUUAUUGGAAUGCUACAGAGAAGUUUAGUAUGGGUGCUGUGCAAGGAUGACACACAAGUCCCUGAAAGAUGCCUGUCUUAC
ensembl:snRNA U6 U6 spliceosomal RNA